CCUACGGGAGGCUGCAGUAGGGAAUUUUCGGCAAUGGGGGGAACCCUGACCGAGCAACGCCGCGUGAACGAAGAAGUUAUUCGUAAUGUAAAGUUCUUUUAACAGGGAAGAAAGAGAAAUUUGACGGUACCUGAAGAAUAAGCUCCGGCUAACUACGUGCCAGCACCCCCGGUAAUCCGUAGGGUGCGACGGUUAUCAGGAAUUAUUGGGGGUAAAGGGUGCGUAGAUGGUAUAGUAAGGCUUUUGGAAAAAUGCUGGGCUCAACCGAGUAGGGCAAAAGAUACUGCAAAGCUAGAGUAUGACAGAGGCAAGUGGAACUACAGGUGUAGCGGUAAAAUGCGUAAAUAUAUGUAAGAACACCAGUGGCGAAGGCGGCUUGCUGGAUCGAUACUGACAUUGAGGCACGAAAGCGUGGGGAGCAAACAGGAUUAGAUACCCCGGUAGUC
rnacentral:rRNA from 1 species